AUGAACGCCGGCGGCGUGCCUAAUACAUGCAAGUCGAGCGAACAGAUGAGGAGCUUGCUCCUCUGACGUUAGCGGCGGACGGGUGAGUAACACGUGGAUAACCUACCUAUAAGACUGGGAUAACUUCGGGAAACCGGAGCUAAUACCGGAUAAUAUAUUGAACCGCAUGGUUCAAUAGUGAAAGACGGUUUUGCUGUCACUUAUAGAUGGAUCCGCGCCGCAUUAGCUAGUUGGUAAGGUAACGGCUUACCAAGGCAACGAUGCGUAGCCGACCUGAGAGGGUGAUCGGCCACACUGGAACUGAGACACGGUCCAGACUCCUACGGGAGGCAGCAGUAGGGAAUCUUCCGCAAUGGGCGAAAGCUUGACGGAGCAACGCCGCGUGAGUGAUGAAGGUCUUCGGAUCGUAAAACUCUGUUAUUAGGGAAGAACAAAUGUGUAAGUAACUAUGCACGUCUUGACGGUACCUAAUCAGAAAGCCACGGCUAACUACGUG
rnacentral:rRNA from 1 species